rnacentral:rRNA from 1 species
UACGGGGGGGGCAAGCGUUGUUCGGAAUUACUGGGCGUAAAGGGCUCGUAGGUGGCCAACUAAGUCAGACGUGAAAUCCCUCGGCUUAACCGGGGAACUGCGUCUGAUACUGGAUGGCUAGAGAUUGGGAGAGGGAUGCGGAAUUCCAGGUGUAGCGGUGAAAUGCGUAGAUAUCUGGAGGAACACCGGUGGCGAAGGCGGUGGGCUGGGCCGGUACUGACGCUGAGGAGCGAAAGCGUGGGGAGCGAACAGG